AGAGUUUGAUCCUGGCUCAGAUUGAACGCUGGCGGUAUGCUUAACACAUGCAAGUCGAACGGAAACGAUGGAAGCUUGCUUCCAGGCGUCGAGUGGCGGACGGGUGAGUAACGCGUAGGAAUCUGCCUGAUAGUGGGGGAUAGCCCGAAGAAAUUCGGAUUAAUACCGCAUAAUCUAUUCGUAGUAAAGUGGGGGACUUUCGAGCCUCACGCUAUCAGAUGAGCCUGCGUAAGAUUAGCUUGUUGGUAGGGUAAAAGCCUACCAAGGCAACGAUCUUUAGCUGGUCUGAGAGGAUGAUCAGCCACAUCGGGACUGAGACACGGCCCGAACUCCUACGGGAGGCAGCAGUGGGGAAUAUUGGACAAUGGGGGCAACCCUGAUCCAGCAAUACCGCGUGUGUGAAGAAGGCCUGAGGGUUGUAAAGCACUUUCAAUUGUGAAGAAAAGUUAACGGUUAAUAACCGUUAGCCUUGACGUUAACUUUAGAAGAAGCACCGGCUAACUCCGUGCCAGCAGCCGCGGUAAUACGGAGGGUGCAAGCGUUAAUCGGAAUUACUGGGCGUAAAGCGUGCGUAGGCGGUUUAUUAAGUCAGAUGUGAAAGCCCCGGGCUUAACCUGGGAACUGCAUUUGAAACUGGUCAACUAGAGUAUGGUAGAGGAAAGUGGAAUUUCUGGUGUAGCGGUGAAAUGCGUAGAUAUCAGAAGGAACAUCAAUGGCGAAGGCAGCUUUCUGGACCAAUACUGACGCUGAGGUACGAAAGCGUGGGUAGCAAACAGGAUUAGAUACCCUGGUAGUCCACGCCGUAAACGAUGAUAACUAGCCGUUGGGGGGAUUUACCCUUUAGUGGCGAAGCUAACGCGUUAAGUUAUCCGCCUGGGGAGUACGGCCGCAAGGUUAAAACUCAAAGGAAUUGACGGGGACCCGCACAAGCGGUGGAGCAUGUGGUUUAAUUCGAUGCAACGCGAAGAACCUUACCUGGUCUUGACAUCCUGCGAACUUUCUAGAAAUAGAUUGGUGCCUUCGGGAACGCAGUGACAGGUGCUGCAUGGCUGUCGUCAGCUCGUGUCGUGAGAUGUUGGGUUAAGUCCCGUAACGAGCGCAACCCCUAUCCUUAUUUGCCAGCACGUCAUGGUGGGAACUAUAAGGAGACUGCCGGUGAUAAACCGGAGGAAGGCGGGGACGACGUCAAGUCAUCAUGGCCCUUACGACCAGGGCUACACACGUGCUACAAUGGGAAGGACAAAGAGCCGCGAAGCCGCGAGGUGUAGCUAAUCUCAGAAACCUUUUCGUAGUCCGGAUUGGAGUCUGCAACUCGACUCCAUGAAGUCGGAAUCGCUAGUAAUCGUAGAUCAGAAUGCUACGGUGAAUACGUUCCCGGGUCUUGUACACACCGCCCGUCAUACCAUGGGAGUGGGUUGCACCAGAAGUGGCUAGUCUAACUUAGUGAGGACGGUCACCACGGUGUGAUUCAUGACUGGGGUAAAGUCGUAACAAGGUAACC
rnacentral:rRNA from 1 species